AGCAGUCGCCGCGGUAAUACGAAGGGAGCUAGCGUUGUUCGGAAUUACUGGGCGUAAAGCGCACGUAGGCGGCUUUGUAAGUUAGAGGUGAAAGCCUGGAGCUCAACUCCAGAAUUGCCUUUAAGACUGCAUCGCUUGAAUCCAGGAGAGGUGAGUGGAAUUCCGAGUGUAGAGGUGAAAUUCGUAGAUAUUCGGAAGAACACCAGUGGCGAAGGCGGCUCACUGGACUGGUAUUGACGCUGAGGUGCGAAAGCGUGGGGAGCAAACAGGAUUAGAUACCCGCGUAGUCCCUGUCUCUUAUAC
rnacentral:rRNA from 1 species